rnacentral:rRNA from 1 species
AAUGAACGUUGGCGGCGUGGAUUAGGCAUGCAAGUCGUGCGAGAAGUCUUUUGCUUGCAUUAGACGGAAAGCGUCGAAAGGGAGAGUAACGCGUGGGUACCUACCUCUAGGUUCGGGAUAGCUGCGGGAAACUGUGGGUAAUACCGAAUAACAUCUCCGGAUCAAAGGUGUGAUUCCGCCUGGAGACGGGCCCGCGUCCUAUUAGGUUGUUGGUUGGGUAAUGGCUUACCAAGGCAAUGAUGGGUAUCGGGCGUGAGAGCGUGAACCGACUCACUGGGACUGAGACAAUGCCCAGAAACCUACGGGUGGCUGCAGUCGAGAAUUUUCGGAAAUGGGCGCAAGCCUGACCGAGCGACGCCGCGUGCGGGAUGAAGGCCCUCGGGUUGUAAACCGCUGUCAGUUGGGAGGAAAUCACAUGGGGUUCUAUCCAUGUGUUGACCUAUCUUCAGAGGAAGGACGGGCUAAGUUCGUGCCAGCCGCCGCGGUAAGAC